rnacentral:rRNA from 1 species
UACGGAGGGUGCAAGCGUUAUCCGGAUUUAUUGGGCUUAAAGGGUGCGUAGGCGGUCUGACAAGUCUGAUGUGAAAUCUAUGGGCUCAACCCAUAGUCUGCAUCGGAAACUGUCGGGCUUGAGUAUGGGAGAGGCGAGUGGAAUUUCCGGUGUAGCGGUGAAAUGCGUAGAUAUCGGAAGGAACACCUGCGGCGAAAGCGGCUCACUGGACCAUUACUGACGCUGAGGCACGAAAGCUAGGGGAGCAAACAGG